rnacentral:rRNA from 1 species
GACGUAGGGCGCGAGCGUUGUCCGGAUUUAUUGGGCGUAAAGAGCUCGUAGGCGGCUUGUUGCGUCGACCGUGAAAACCCGUGGCUCAACUGCGGGCUUGCGGUCGAUACGGGCGGGCUAGAGUUCGGUAGGGGAGACUGGAAUUCCUGGUGUAGCGGUGAAAUGCGCAGAUAUCAGGAGGAACACCGGUGGCGAAGGCGGGUCUCUGGGCCGAUACUGACGUGAGGAGCGAAAGCGUGGGGAGCGAACAGG